AUGGUGAUGAUGGGGCAGCUGGGGAGGCUGGUGGACGGGCUGAGGUCCAAGAUGCGGGCCGGCAGCGGCGGGAAGAAGGGGACGGGGAAGAAGGCGGCGGGGGCGGCGGCCUACGAGCAGAUGGGCAAGACGGAGAGCAUGAGGGUGGAAAUCAAGAGCCGGCAGGCGCAGAAGCUCAUCGCCAAGAACCUCGUCGCCGCCGAUUCCAUAGGCCGCAGGAGCAGGAACAAGCGCUUCUUCCUCGCCUUCUAG
rnacentral:rRNA from 1 species